UGUUUUUGAUAACUAGAGUCAUUGAUUAAGGUCCCUCCUUACCUUAGGGGGUCACCCACAAUUUAAACUUGGACAAAAUAAAAAUUAGGUCCACGAUAUAUAUUGAAUAAUUCUUAACAAAUUUCAAGAUCAAUGCAUUGGGUAUGGUGACUAAUUUAGUGCAAGUUACAAGCUGAGGUGUUGCUUGGACUUUCCACACACAUAAUCAAGAGAGAAAGCAAAAGCGUC
rnacentral:lncRNA from 1 species